rnacentral:rRNA from 1 species
CUGAUCCAGCCAUGCCGCGUGUGUGAAGAAGGCCUUAGGGUUGUAAAGCACUUUCAGGGGUGAGGAAGGGUGAUAGCUUAAUACGUUAUUACUUUGACGUUAGCCCCAGAAGAAGCACCGGCUAACUCUGUGCCAGCAGCCGCGGUAAU